GCAUCGGUAGCUCAGUGGUAGAGCAGUGGGGCGUUGACCUAUGCAGCCUGGGUUUGAGUCCCGGUCGAUGCG